UUAUUUUUAUAUUUAGCUAAGAUGACAGUUAUAAAUUUUAUCUUAGUAAUAUCUCAGUGAUAUUAGGAUUGGGUUUGCUUAAUAUUUCUUUCAAAACAGAGUGCGUUAGCCAAAAUUGUGGCAAUCGUUUGCCAUUAAGGUUGGGGAUUUAAAGAUGAGUUCUUCAAUAUUGGACUGAGUUUUGAUUAACAUAGCGAAGAACCUAUCGUUUUCGUUAUCGAAUUACAGAAUUGUUUGAUUUCAUAAUGCCAUAUGAGCGUAUGGAAAGUUAUGAAAGUUUCUCAGUUGAAAUGCAAAGAAGGAGGUAAUCUAAUCCUAAGACAUUAAUCAGGUAUGGAAAGUUAUGAAAGUUUCUCAGUUGAAAUGCAAAGAAGGAGGUAAUCUAAUCCUAAGACAUUAAUCAG